AUAUAUAUUUUUUUUUUUUUUUUUUUUUUUUUUUUUCGCCACCCUUUGGUAAAUUGCCCGUCUUCCACAAGUAUCUCUCAAACUCAGAUUUCCCAUCUCGCUUGCCUUUUUCCAAUCUUCGACUUGCUCGUCCUCACCGCUUCCGAGAUCCUUCACAAGGAGCCCAAUUGUUCCUCUUCGUCUUCAAUGGUGAUUAUGUCAGCUUGGAAGGAGUAAGGUUGUGAGGUUGCUUAUAUGGCCUACUUCUCUUGUUUGCCAAAGAAGAGAGAAAGCUCAAUUCAGAAGCUGAAGAUUCACCAGUGAAAAGAUUAGCGGCUAGAUUGAGGCGCUGCAGAUUCCUUAAGUUACCGAGAGUGUUUGGAAUAGGUCCAGAAAAGAAGUUUGAGCUCAUUUCUGCAAUAGUGAGCUUGGAAGCAUUAGAGAAGGAAGCAGGAAGUGGUCCACUAAUCUGAUUCCUAGUUAGGUAAAUUUCCUCCAGAUUAGAAGCAUGGCCAAAGUUCAAUGGAAGUUUGCCUGAGAAUCGAUUUACAUUUAACAGCAAGAGUCGUACAGUUGUUAUAUUGAACAAAGACGAUGGGAUGGUGCCUGAAAAGUUAUUAUAGCGGACGAUGAAGGACAUAAGUUUACGGAGUUUACCAAUCUCACUUGGUAUUGGACCUGCAAAGAUUGAAAUAAAAUUAAAGUAUAUGUCUGCAAAACUAUGUUCGUGAAAUUAAGUAAAACUAAAAAUCCUGGCUAAUAA